AGUCUCGCUCAGGUCCUGCGGCGUUAGUCCUCGGGUUUUCUUUGCUUAACAUGGACUUCUCUUUAUUAGUGCCAGCAAUGGAAGCUUAUACCCGACAAGUGCAUCAUUGAUUUCCAAAGCCUGCAGUAAUCAUUCCUCCACUUAACCUCAUGACCUCCAAGAUACAGUGACCGCAAAGGUACUGUUCUCUCUCUC
rnacentral:lncRNA from 1 species